GGUUGCAGGAGGGGACCAAUCAGAGGUACCUCCCAUUUUUCAUCUGCAGCCCAAUGCAAAGUAAUGACAUGGAUCUGGAGAGAUUCUCUUAGGAGAGAAUCUGGCUAAGUGUCUAGCAGGAUGAUUGAUUAACAAGAUGUUUUGUUUUCAUCAUCUCAGAGAUAAGUACAACUAUUCUGUCAUCUAAUCUGCUAACUCCUACAUUAUCAAUACGCUGUAUUGAGGUAUAAUUGAUAUGCCAAAUAACUGGACACAUUCAACUUGUGCAAUUUGAUGAGUUUGGAGAUACACAUACAUCUGUGAAACCAUCACCAAAAUCAAGAUGCUGGUGCCUGCAGUGGAGGCUGCUUGAAAUACAUCUGGUCCAGUCACAGCCUUGAUUGGGGCCAGUGCCUGUGCCAGCACCUGGAGCUGCCUGCCCCACCACAGCAGCCAGCGUGCCUGGCUGUGCA
rnacentral:lncRNA from 1 species